GGGCGGUUAGCUCAGUUGGUAGAGCGCCAUCUUGACGUGGUGGAUGUCAGGGGUUCGAAUCCCUUACCGCCCA
rnacentral:tRNA from 1 species